rnacentral:rRNA from 1 species
GACGAACGCUGGCGGCGUGCUUAACACAUGCAAGUGGAGCGACGAACCAGGGCUUGCCCUGGGGCAGAGCCGCGAACGGGUGAGUAACACGUGGGUAACGUGCCCCGAUGACUGGGACAACCCGGGGAAACCCGGGCUAAUACCGGAUGUGCCCCCUCACAUCAGUGAGGUGUGUAAAGGAAGCUUCGGCCUCCGCAUCGGGAUCGGCCCGCGGCCCAUUAGCUUGUUGGUGAGGUAACGGCUCACCAAGGCUGCGAUGGGUAGCUGGUCUGAGAGGACGAUCAGCCACACUGGGACUGAGACACGGCCCAGACUCCUGCGGGAGGCAGCAGUGGGGAAUCUUGCGCAAUGCGCGAAAGCGUGACGCAGCAACGCCGCGUGGGGGAAGACGGCCUUCGGGUUGUAAACCCCUUUCAGUUGGGACGAAGGUCGGGCGGUUAACAGCCGUUCCGGCUGACGGUACCUUCACAAGAAGCCCCGGCUAACUACGUG